rnacentral:rRNA from 1 species
GCUCAGGAUGAACGCUAGCUACAGGCUUAACACAUGCAAGUCGAGGGGCAGCAUCAUCAAAGCUUGCUUUGAUGGAUGGCGACCGGCGCACGGGUGAGUAACACGUAUCCAACCUGCCGACAACACUGGGAUAGCCUUUCGAAAGAAAGAUUAAUACCGGAUGGCAUARUUUUCCCGCAUGGGAUAAUUAUUAAAGAAUUUCGGUUGUCGAUGGGGAUGCGUUCCAUUAGGCAGUUGGCGGGGUAACGGCCCACCAAACCWACGAUGGAUAGGGGUUCUGAGAGGAAGGUCCCCCACAUUGGAACUGAGACACGGUCCAAACUCCUACGGGAGGCAGCAGUGAGGAAUAUUGGUCAAUGGACGAGAGUCUGAACCAGCCAAGUAGCGUGAAGGAUGACUGCCCUAUGGGUUGUAAACUUCUUUUAUACGGGAAUAAAGUGAGCCACGUGUGGCUUUUUGUAUGUACCGUAUGAAUAAGGAUCGGCUAACUCCGUGCCAGCAGCCGCGGUAAUACGGAGGAUCCGAGCGUUAUCCGGAUUUAUUGGGUUUAAAGGGAGCGUAGGCGGGUUGUUAAGUCAGUUGUGAAAGUUUGCGGCUCAACCGUAAAAUUGCAGUUGAUACUGGCGACCUUGAGUGCAACAGAGGUAGGCGGAAUUCGUGGUGUAGCGGUGAAAUGCUUAGAUAUCACGAAGAACUCCGAUUGCGAAGGCAGCUUACUGGAUUGUAACUGACGCUGAUGCUCGAAAGUGUGGGUAUCAAACAGGAUUAGAUACCCUGGUAGUCCACACAGUAAACGAUGAAUACUCGCUGUUGGCGAUAUACGGUCAGCGGCCAAGCGAAAGCAUUAAGUAUUCCACCUGGGGAGUACGCCGGCAACGGUGAAACUCAAAGGAAUUGACGGGGGCCCGCACAAGCGGAGGAACAUGUGGUUUAAUUCGAUGAUACGCGAGGAACCUUACCCGGGCUUAAAUUGCAACUGACGGAAUCGGAAACGGUUCUUUCUUCGGACAGUUGUGAAGGUGCUGCAUGGUUGUCGUCAGCUCGUGCCGUGAGGUGUCGGCUUAAGUGCCAUAACGAGCGCAACCCUUAUCGAUAGUUACUAUCAGGUUAUGCUGAGGACUCUAUCCAGACUGCCGUCGUAAGAUGUGAGGAAGGUGGGGAUGACGUCAAAUCAGCACGGCCCUUACGUCCGGGGCUACACACGUGUUACAAUGGGGGGUACAGAAGGCAGCUACACGGCGACGUGGUGCUAAUCCCGAAAGCCUCUCUCAGUUCGGAUUGGAGUCUGCAACCCGACUCCAUGAAGCUGGAUUCGCUAGUAAUCGCGCAUCAGCCACGGCGCGGUGAAUACGUUCCCGGGCCUUGUACACACCGCCCGUCAAGCCAUGAAAGCCGGGGGUACCUGAAGUACGUAACCGCGAGGAGCGUCCU